CCUGGAGUGCCCCAUCCCAUGUCGCUGAAGGGGUUAAAACCCCUUCAGACACUUACCUGAAUCCAGCACCGAUGUCCCUCUGCACUGGGUCAGGCUCUGUCCACGGUCCUCCCCCACUGAUGGGGGAAACCUAAUGCGCAUUCUCGGCAAUGGCCGAAGUUGGAUUAGGAUAUCCCCAUAGGAAAGCAUUAUCCAAUGCUUUCCUAUGGGGAUUUCAAUGAUGCUGGAGGUCCUCAGGCAGAGCGUGAGGACGUCCAGCGUCGUUUAGACGACCAAAAGUCGUCUAAGAAGCCGGAAGUCCCUCUAGUAGACAGCCACAAGAGGAUGAUGUGGCAAACUAGCCACUUGUGCUAUGCUUACCUAUUUGUACUAAAGGUUUUCUGCAAUAACCGCUGUAUUAUACGUUGUUAC